GCGGGUAUCGUAUAGUGGCAAUACCUUAGCUUUCCAAGCUAAUGCCGGGGGUUCGAUUCCCCCUACCCGCU
rnacentral:tRNA from 1 species